AGCCGGCGGGGCGGGAGCGGAGCGGAGCCGCCCGCGGGGCGCCGGAUGCUGCGGCCCUUGCGGUGUUGGCCAGCGUGCAGAUGGGCAGAGCUGUUAGCUACAAGGUGAUUAGUGCCUCACACUGCUCAGGUUAGGGCCCUAGAAGGAAGGAUGGUCUAAGAGAGCUGUUUAAUAGUCACGCAUCACUUCCUCCAAGUUUAAGAUCAGAGCAUCCCUAUGAGUAAGAAGUCAAGCAAAGGGGGCAGGGGACCUGCAUGGAUGAGCAAGCAGCUCCUGGCAAAACUCAAACAGAAGAAGGAGGUACACGGAACGUGGAAGAAGGGACAGGCCACUUUGGAGGAAGAUGGGAACACUGUCAGAGUAUGCCGGGAUGCAACAAGGAAGGCUAAGGCCCAUUUGAAAUUAAAUCUGGCAAGGGAUGUCAAGGACAACAAGAAGGGCUUCUUCAAAUGCAUCGUUAGCAAAGGGAAGACUAGGGAAAAUGUGGGCCCACUGCUGAAUGGGUCAGGGGCCCUGGUGAUGAAGGAUGCAG